rnacentral:rRNA from 14 species
AAGUCCCGCAACGAGCGCAACCCCCAUCACUAGUUGCCAUCAGGUAACGCUGGGAACUCUAGUGAAACUGCCGUCGUAAGACGUGAGGAAGGAGGGGAUGAUGUCAAGUCAUCAUGGCCUUUAUGCCCAGGGCUACACACGUGCUACAAUGGCGUCCACAAAGCGAACCGAAAACGCGAGUUCGAGGAAAUCGCAGAAAUGACGCCUCAGUUCAGAUUGGAGGCUGCAACUCGCCUCCAUGAAGAUGGAGUUGCUAGUAAUCGCAGAUCAGCAAUGCUGCGGUGAAUACGUUCCCGGGC